rnacentral:rRNA from 1 species
GCGGUGGAGCAUGUGGUUUAAUUCGAAGCAACGCGAAGAACCUUACCAGGUCUUGACAUCCCUGACAACCCGAGAGAUCGGGCGUUCCCCUUCGGGGGACAGGGUGACAGGUGGUGCAUGGUUGUCGUCAGCUCGUGUCGUGAGAUGUUGGGUUAAGUCCCGCAACGAGCGCAACCCUCGACCUUAGUUGCCAGCAUUCAGUUGGGCACUCUAAGGUGACUGCCGGCUAAAAGUCGGAGGAAGGUGGGGAUGACGUCAAAUCAUCAUGCCCCUUAUGACCUGGGCUACACACGUGCUACAAUGGGCGGUACAAAGGGUCGCGAACCCGCGAGGGGGAGCCAAUCCCAAAAAGCCGCUCUCAGUUCGGAUUGCAGGCUGCAACUCGCCUGCAUGAAGCCGGAAUCGCUAGUAAUCGCGGAUCAGCAUGCCGCGGUCGAAUACGUUCCCGGGCCUU